rnacentral:rRNA from 1 species
GAUGAACGCUGGCGGCGUGCCUAAUACAUGCAAGUCGAGCGAACGGACGAGAAGCUUGCUUCUCUGAUGUUAGCGGCGGACGGGUGAGUAACACGUGGAUAACCUACCUAUAAGACUGGGAUAACUUCGGGAAACCGGAGCUAAUACCGGAUAAUAUUUUGAACCGCAUUGUUCAAAAGUGAAAGACGGUCUUGCUGUCACUUAUAGAUGGAUCCGCGCUGCAUUAGCUAGUUGGUAAGGUAACGGCUUACCAAGGCAACGAUGCAUAGCCGACCUGAGAGAGGGGUCGGCCACACUGGAGGUGAGACACGGUCCAGAGUCCUACGGGAGGGAGCAGUAGGGAAUCGUCCGCAGUGGGCGAAAGCCUGGCGGAGCAGCGCCGAGUGUGUGGUGAAGGUGUUCGGAUCGUAAAACUCUGUUAUUAGGGAAGAACAUAUGUGUAAGUAACUGUGCACAUCGUGACGGUACCUAAACAGAAAGCCACGGCUAACUACGUG